rnacentral:rRNA from 1 species
CCUACGGGAGGCAGCAGUGGGGAAUCUUGCGCAAUGGGCGAAAGCCUGACGCAGCAACGCCGCGUGCGGGAUGAAGGCCUUCGGGUUGUAAACCGCUUUCAGCAGGGACGAAAAUGACGGUACCUGCAGAAGAAGCCCCGGCUAACUACGUGCCAGCAGCCGCGGUAAUACGUAGGGGGCAAGCGUUGUCCGGAUUUAUUGGGCGUAAAGAGCUCGUAGGCGGUUCCGUAAGUCGAGUGUGAAAAAUCUGGGCUCAACCCAGUGGAGCACUCGAUACUGCGGUGACUAGAGUACGGUAGAGGAGUGUGGAAUUUCUGGUGUAGCGGUGAAAUGCGCAGAUAUCAGAAGGAACACCCACGGCGAAGGCAGCACUAUGGGCCGGUCCAGACGCUGAGGAGCGAAAGCUUGGGGAGCGAACAGGAUCAGAUACCCUGGUAGUCCCCGCCGUAAACGUUGGGCACAUAGGUGUGGGGAGGAAUCAACCCUUUCCGUGCCGUAGCUAACGCAUUAAGUGCACCGCCUGGGGAGUCCGGCCGCAAGGCUAAAACUCAAAGGAAUUGACGG